rnacentral:misc_RNA from 1 species
UACGUAGGGGGCAAGCGUUGUCCGGAAUUAUUGGGCGUAAAGCGCGCGCAGGCGGCCAUGUAAGUCUCGUGUAUAAGCCCGGAGCUCAACUCCGGUUGGCACGGGAAACUGUGUGGCUUGAGUGCAGAAGAGGAGAGUGGAAUUCCACGUGUAGCGGUGAAAUGCGUAGAUAUGUGGAGGAACACCAGUGGCGAAGGCGACUCUCUGGUCUGUAACUGACGCUGAGGCGCGAAAGCGUGGGGAGCAAACAGG